rnacentral:rRNA from 1 species
UUUCGAAUCAUCCACAAUGGGCGAAAGCCUGAUGGUGCGACGCCGCGUGGGUGAUGAAGGUCUUCGGAUCGUAAAACCCUGUCGAGAGGGAAGAAAGAGCGGGCGCUAAUAUCGCCUACUUCUGACGGUACCUCUGGAGGAAGCCCCGGCUAACUCUGUGCCAGCAGCCGCGGUAAUACGUAGGGACCAAGCGUUGUUCGGAUUUACUGGGCGUAAAGGGCGCGUAGGCGGUGUGUCAAGUCAGUUGUGAAAUCUCCGAGCUUAACUCGGAACGGUCAACUGAUACUGUCACACUAGAGUACAGAAGGGGCAAUCGGAAUUCUUGGUGUAGCGGUGAAAUGCGUAGAUAUCAAGAGGAACACCUGAGGUGAAGACGGGUUGCUGGGCUGACACUGACGCUGAGGCGCGAAAGCCAGGGGAGCAAACGGGAUUAGAUACCCCGGUAGUCCCUGAGCGGG